rnacentral:rRNA from 1 species
AUUGAACGCUGGCGGCAGGCCUAACACAUGCAAGUCGAGCGAGCGGCGGACGGGUGAGUAAUGUCUGGGAAACUGCCUGAUGGAGGGGGAUAACUACUGGAAACGGUAGCUAAUACCGCAUACCAUCAGAUGUGCCCAGAUGGGAUUAGCGAGUUGGUGGGGUAAUGGCUCACCCAGGCGACGAUCCCUAGCUGGUCUGAGAGGAUGACCAGCCACACUGGAACUGAGACACGGUCCAGACUCCUACGGGAGGAAGCAGUGGGGAAUAUUGCACAAUGGGCGCAAGCCUGAUGCAGCCAUGCCGCGUGUUUGAAGAAGGCCUUCGGGUUGUAAAGCACUUUCAGCGAGGAGGCGUUACUCGCAGAAGAAGCACCGGCUAACUCCGUGCCAGCCGCCGCGGUAAUUC